rnacentral:rRNA from 1 species
CCUACGGGUGGCAGCAGUGGGGAAUAUUGGGCAAUGGGCGCAAGCCUGACCCAGCAACGCCGCGUGAAGGAAGAAGGCUUUCGGGUUGUAAACUUCUUUUGUCAGGGAAGAGUAGAAGACGGUACCUGCCGAAUAAGCCACGGCUACCUACGUGCCAGCAGCCGCGGUAAUACGUUGGUGGCAAGCGUUGUCCGGAUUAACUGGGUGUAAGGGGCGUGGAGCCGGGUUGACAAGUCAGGUGUGAAAUCCCGCGGCUUAACCGAUGAAGUGCAUUUGAAACUGUUGAUCUUGAGUACUGGAGAGGCAGGCGGAAUUCCUAGUGUAGCGGUGAAAUGCGUAGAUAUUAGGAAGAACACCAGUGGCGAAGGCGGUCUGCUGGACAGCAACUGACGGUGAGGCGCGAAAGCGUGGGGAGCAAACAGGAUUAGAUACCCUUGUAGUC